rnacentral:rRNA from 1 species
UACGUAGGGUGCAAGCGUUGUCCGGAAUUAUUGGGCGUAAAGAGCUCGUAGGCGGUCUGUCACGUCGGCUGUGAAAACCCAGGGCUCAACCCUGGGCCUGCAGUCGAUACGGGCAGACUAGAGUCCGGCAGGGGAGACUGGAAUUCCUGGUGUAGCGGUGAAAUGCGCAGAUAUCAGGAGGAACACCGGUGGCGAAGGCGGGUCUCUGGGCCGAUACUGACGCUGAGGAGCGAAAGCGUGGGGAGCGAACAGG